CUUCUCCCCCACCAGCUCGCCAGCUCGGGAGCUUCUUGAGAGCAGGGUCCACGGCAGGCUUUGCUCACCAUUGCGUGGCUCCAGGCUCAUGUUUCCCUCAGACUUUUAUUCAUUCAAGCAGCAUGUAUUGGAUACCUACUAUACAACAAGCAUUGUUCUAGGAACCAGGGAUACAGUGGCAAAAAUGACAAGCCAUAGACCCUGCCCUCAUGAAACUUAAUGUAGAUGAGACAUAUAGCAGAUCAAAUCCUAGACUCACUGUCUGAUCUGGAAGGCACUUUAAUCAUGCCUAAGAGCCUGGAGAUUUAUAAAGGAAGCUGUAACUGGGAACAAUCUGGCCUGCUGGGAAGCUGCUUCUCCCAGGGUCUUGCUCUAUUACCCCGAGUGGAGUGGAGUGGUGCUAUCUUGGCUCAUUGCAUCGUUGACCUCCUGAGCUCAAGUGAUCCUCCCACCUGAGCCUCCCAAUUAUCGGGACUACAGGCACAUACCAACACAGCCAGAUGGAGUCUCACUCUGUUGCCCAGGCUGGAGUGCAGUGGCACAAUCUCGGCUCACUACAACCUCCGCCUCCUGGGUUCAAGCAAUUCUCCUGUCUCAGCCUCCCAAGUAGCUGGGACUACAGAGGCAUGCCACCACACCAGGCUAAUUUUUGUAUUUUUAGUAGAGACGGCGUUUCACCAUGUUGGUCAGGCUGGUCUCAAACUCCUGACCUCAAGUGAUCCACCUGCCUCAGCCUCUCAAAGUGCUGGGAUUACAGGCAUGAGCCACAGUGCCCGGCCCAAAAGUUGCUUUCUCCAACUUUUGGGCUGAACUCUGUCUCUUUGUGGCUUCCAUCCAUUGGUCACAGUGCCGCCUCUGGGGGGCACCUAAGCUCUGUCUUCUCCCGCUGCCCUCCAACAGCCUCUUAGAGGUCUGAAGCAUCACCAUAGCCAUAACCCCUGAGUCUUCUCCAAGCAAAACAACUCCACUUCCUUCAACUGUUGCUCAUGAGCCAGGGCCCCUGCUUUCUCCACGGCAUGCUUUUGCCUCCCUGGUCAUGCUCCAGUGUGACUCUGGUACCCUUAAUAUGUGGCACACAGAGCUGACACUAUAUUCCAGGGCAGUCUGUCACCUCCUUGUUCUUGAAACUUCACUUCUAUACUGCCUACAGAUGCAGCUGAAGGUUCCACGGAUGUAUUUGGUCAGACCAUGCAUAUGACAGUCACCUCCUCAGCUCUGCUCCUUGCCCUCUCACCUGGUUCCCCCUUGCCAGCCUACAUUUGAGGACUGGAUUCAAGAGCAAGACCUAACAUUUCUCCCUGUCAUAUUUACUUUGUAAUCUUCAGCCCCUCCUUCUAGUCUGUCAGGAAUGGGAAUGUUUUUGAAAACAGACUCUGAAAGCCAAUGAGAUGUGCUCCUCCUGCCCACAGUUGGACCCAGGCUCCAUAUUUGAUCAGUGAACAGCCACGUCCGCACAUGUGCCACGAGGCAUUUGUCUGCAAAUUCAUCCAGAGACUUUGACAGAUGCCUGGAGGUCACAGAUCAGCCUCCUCUAUGCUGCCAUGUGGCCCCAGGAGCCUGAAGGAAACACCAAGUACAUCUAGAAGUUGAUGGUUGACCGAUGGGAGAGGGGGCAAGAUGCCAGUCACUCAGUCAGCCAAUCUUUCCUGAAGAUUGUUGGAGGCUCCAAGUGACAGAGGGAACAAUGUGGAGAACAUUCAGAGACAUCAUCUAUUGCCUGUGCCCUCUGGAAGUUUCUAGUCUCACAAAAAGGAAGACCAGGGAGGCCCUUAAGACAAUAUAGUAGGCUGAAUAAUAUCCCCCAAAGAUAUCAGGUCCUAGUCCCUGGAACCUGUAAAAGUUACCUGAUUUGGAAAAAUGAUCUUGGCAGUUGUGAUCAAGUUAAGGGUUUCUAAAUGCAAUCACAUAAGCGGGAGGCAGAGGAGACUUGACAUAGACAGAAAAAGAAAAGAAAAGACCACGUGACCAUAGAGGCAGAGAUUGGAGUGAAGUGGCUACAAGCCAAGGAAUGCCGGCAGCCACAGAAGCUGGAAAAGACAAGGACCAGAUUUUCCCCUAGAGCCUCUGGAAGGAGCAUGGCCCCAUCAACACCUUGAUUUUGGCCCAGUGAUACCGGCUUUAGACGUCUAGCCUCCAGAUCCGUGAGAGAAUACAUUUUUGUUUUCUUCAGCC
rnacentral:lncRNA from 1 species